rnacentral:rRNA from 1 species
UGGGGAAUAUUGGACAAUGGGCGAAAGCCUGAUCCAGCCAUGCCGCGUGUGUGAAGAAGGUCUUCGGAUUGUAAAGCACUUUAAGUUGGGAGGAAGGGCUGCUGAUUAAUACUCCGCAGUCUUGACGUUACCAACAGAAUAAGCACCGGCUAACUUCGUGCCAGCAGCCGCGGUAAUACGAAGGGUGCAAGCGUUAAUCGGAAUUACUGGGCGUAAAGCGCGCGUAGGUGGUCUUGUAAGUUGAAGGUGAAAUCCCCGGGCUCAACCUGGGAACUGCCUCCAAAACUGCAGGACUCGAGUACGGUAGAGGGUGGUGGAAUUUCCUGUGUAGCGGUGAAAUGCGUAGAUAUAGGAAGGAACACCAGUGGCGAAGGCGACCACCUGGACUGAUACUGACACU